AAAACUUUAGACACCUACCCAACCAUGGCUCUGAUACCAUCAGACAACGGUCGUGGAGAAAGCAUAAUUAAACAUUUAUAAUAAAAAGUAAAUUAAAACAUAUAUGAUACAGAUUGAAAUAUAACUUAAAAAUAAAACAGAAAUAUGGGCGGUUAGACCAGCCACUUAAACAUAAAGCAUAAUACUAAAACGAGAAAAUGAAACAAGAAAAAUAUAAUUAAAACUUUAUUUAUUAAAAACUUACUUAAAAGAGAUUGUAGCAAUGUUCUCGAUUACAAGGACUGGAGAGAAUGUAAGAGGAGAUAUGAAUGAAAGAGUAGGAGAAUGGGAGAAUGAGAACUUGGUUUACAACUGAAGCAAAGACUCCUUUAUAUAGGAGUUUACAAGGGUGAAAUUAAGAAAAUAAAAAUAAAAAUAAAAAUAAAAGUGGCAUAUAUGGAUAACUCCACUAGCAAAAGCUUGCUCAAUUAAGCUCUAUAAUUGUUUGCUGUCUGCUGGAAGUGGACCUUGGUCUUCAUGGCUACAGGAGAAAGCACUUAUUUGAUGUUUUGGAUUUUUAUCGGGU
rnacentral:lncRNA from 1 species